CCUACAGCCUAGAGAGACCAGUGGGACAAAUACCUGGAGAGCUACUCUGGAGGAGCCCUGUAGGACACCAACUGGACCAGGUUCGACGCGGUCACCCAUAACUGCUACACCUACUGCCUGGGCUUCAUCAACCGGGUCCUGGAGGUCGAAGGUCGCGGGCCCCUGACCCCGGAGCAGUUCACCGAGCGCUACGUCUUGCCACGCACCACCAGGGCGCACAGGUUCAACGGCCUCCUUCAGGUCCUCAAGAAGAAGCCCUACCACCUGCUGGAGAGACAGACGGGUAGCGAGAGAGGCAGCCUGGCAGGGAGCGACACAGGCAGCCAGGUCAAGAGUGAGACAGGCAAGUAGAGAGAGAGAGACUGGUAGCGAGAGAGAGACAGGCAAGUAGAGAGAGAGACUGGUAGUGAGAGAGAGACAGGCAAAGAGAGAGAGAGAGAGACAGGCAAGUAGAGAGAGAGAGACAGGUAGAGAGAGACAGGCAAGUAGAGAGAGAGAGACUGGUAGCGAGAGAGAGACAGGCAAGUAGAGAGAGAGAAACGGGUAGUGAGAGAGAGACAGGCAAGUAGAGAGAGAGAGACGGGUAGUGAGAGAGAGACAGGCUUUUAGAGUAUGGUGACUUCCUAUAUCACUACCAUAUGACACUACUGUCCUAUACUACUACCAUACUACUAUAUAUGAUACUACUGCCCUAUACUACUACCAUAUGAUACUACUGCCAUAUACAGUAUACUACUACCAUAUGAUGCUACUAUACAUGAUACAAAAUCCUAUAGUACCAGAUGACACUACUGUCCUAUACUACUACCAUAUGAUACUACUAUAUAUGAUACUACUGCCCUAUACUGCUACCAUAUGAUACUACUGCCAUAUACUACUACCAUAUGCUACUACUGUCCUAUAAUACUACCAUAUAGGACACUACUAUCUUAUACUACUACCAUAUGAUACUACUAUACAUGAUACGACAUCCUAUAGUACCAUAUGAUACUACUGUCCUAUACCACUACCAUAUGAUACUACUGCCCUAUACUACUACAAUAUGAUACGACAUCCUAUACUACCAUAUGAUACUUCUGUCCUAUACUACUACCAUAUGAUACUACUGCCAUACACUACUACCAUAUGAUACUACGGUCCUAUACUACUACCAUAUGAUACUACUGCCAUACACAACACUAUUACUAAGUGAUAAUAUUAUUAUUAUGCACGUUCAUAAUGUUCUUUCCCACUCAUUAUUACAAUAGCUCUGUCUGACAGUCUGUCUCUCAUGCCGAAGAGAAGGUGGUCUUUUCUGAAUACCCCUGAAGGCCAACUCUUUUCUGUGUGAAGUAGCAGGCAACGAAAAUGCGUUCAGGACAUACGGCUAGGGGACAUUUUCAGUCGUUUAGAGUGGAGGUUGUGAUGCAUAAGGGCAUACACACGUGUGUGCCCUUAUGAACGUGAACGUGUGGCACACUUUAUGGUGCCCGUGUCGGGGUUUGAAACUGUUGUCACCCUAUAUGGGAGAGAGAGGAGGGAGAGAGAGAGAGAGAGAGAGAGAGAGAGAGAGAGAGAGAGAGAGAGAGAGAGAGAGAGAGAGAGAGAGAGAGAGAGAGAGAGAGAGAGCGCUAUGAGGUAUAUCAGCUGAUCAGCUGAGUACCAUCAGUAAAGCUGAUGGUACUAUAAGCAAACAGCAUUAGUACUAGCUAACAGAGGCUUGUAUAUUCUCAUAUCAUUCGUAUGUUUGUGGUGCCAGGAGCUAUUAAACCAACAUGAUGCUACGGUGCAAGUGUCUUGAUCUUUGUGUCAGAAUGAUAGGAUCUGCGUGGUGACUGACCUUUCCAGCCGGG
ensembl:lncRNA